UGGGGAAUAUUGGACAAUGGGCGAAAGCCUUAUCCAGCCAUGCCGCGUGUGUGAAGAAGGUCUUCGGAUUGUAAAGCACUUUAAGUUGGGAGGAAGGGCAGUAAGCGAAUACCUUGCUGUUUUGACGUUACCGACAGAAUAAUCACCGGCUAACUCUGUGCCAGCAGCCGCGGUAAUACAGAGGGUGCAAGCGUUAAUCGGAAUUACUGGGCGUAAAGCGCACGUAGGUGGUUCGUUAAGUUGAAUGUGAAAGCCCCGGGCUAAACCUGGGAACUGCAUCCAAAACUGGCGAGCUAGAGUAGGGCAGAGGGUGGGGGAAUGUCCUGUGUAGCGGUGAAAUGCGUAGAUAUAGGAAGGAACACCAGUGGCGAAGGCGACCACCUGGGCUCAUACUGAAACUGAGGUGCGAAAGCGUGGGGAGCAAACAGG
rnacentral:rRNA from 1 species